GAAAACAAAUCAUAUGUGAUUGCAAAAUGUGAGAAUAAUUAGCCAAGGAGCUUAUUCUUGGACAACACAAUGGCGAGGGAGCAUGCCGGCGCUAAUUAUCACACAUCCAUUCAAGGUGCGGUUUAUGAUUCCCACUUCAGUAUGUUUAACUUAUCAUUGUUAACCUGAAACAAACAACACACCUCGAUUUCUUGCAUGGCUAACUGUGAUGCCUGGUGCUUCAGACGCAACGGCGAUUGUACUCUAGCAAAUAAAGAGUGUUUUGUUAUUUCGUCAUGCACCUGAAGUCAGAACAUUGUUUUAUGUAAUGGAAUAGCAUUGUUUUCAACGAGUAGUGAGUCAAACAAUUAAAUUUAAAGUUUCUUCGGAUUGUGCAUGGAACUCUUCUGACGGAUACUACACGAGGAUGGAAGUUAUACUCGCAGAUACUCAUACUGCUGCAGAAGUGGCUGCAGCUUGUCUCCUUGUUCAACAGAAAGCGCUGUAUUAAUUUUCAAAAAGAAAAACAUAGAAGGGUAGUAAUAGUGUCUAGAUGA
rnacentral:lncRNA from 1 species